rnacentral:antisense_RNA from 1 species
CUAAAUGGUGGUUGUGCGCAGGGCGUCCUCGGGCGCGCCGGGUUUUGCCAAUCCUGCCGGUCUACUAACCUGCGUACAGCCGCCACCCUU